UAAAAUAAAAUACCAUGGGGAAAAAGAAAAACAGGUUUGAAGGGAAGCUCUUUUCUCCUGAUCAGUCUCUUUGCCCACAGAGGCAGCUAAUUAAACCUGUGAAGAACACUUCAAGUAGGAUUUUUUAAUCUAGAAGCAUGGUUCCAAGUACCAGAAAUGAGAGGGCCUGGACAGACAGCCUCUACUUAGAGUUAGACACUGACUUCUCCCCAGCUUAUAAGGGGAAGACACCAGCUUAUGUAUGCAGCUAGGAGACCCACUGAUACAAAGGACUCUGGCCAAAGAAGUUGCCAAGUCUGGUAUAUGUGGCACAACCGAUUGUAACACCAUCAAACCCCAAUUUCCAAGGUACAUACAUACACACUAUUGCUCUGCAGCAAUUAUGCAGAAUCAAAAAAUUAUCAACUGAAAGGAAAUUAGUAAAGUAUUAUGGAAUGAGGUUAAGAAAAUUUCUUCAUUGAUGGUUGAUUUCCUCUAUCAGCCUUACUAUCUCACCCCCUGGAUGUUAACGAAAUCUUACAAUAAAAAGUUUAGAAAUGACAAAAUAAGAAAGCAAGAGAAAAGAAUAAUCACAGCAGUAAAAGGAAUAUGGUUAGAAUGGGGUUCUCUUAAGUCAUUCUGAUAGGCAAGAGACCAGGACAGGAGAGGUCACAAAAAUUAAAAACCCAUCUUCUCUAGACGACAGUAACUUAAUCCUCAAAGGUCCUUGGAAAUAGGGGAUGCUGCUGCAACCUAGAAACUAUGGUCCUCCCUCCUGAAGAUUUCUUCCCCAGGUUAGCUCUCUGAGGUUGUUUUUCCUCUUUCUCAGUCCUGUAGUCCCCCAAAUCGGUCAUUUCAAAGAAAGAGAAGUGAAUAUGCUAUUCAAGUGAUGCCACUUCUUAUCAUAUGACUCUCCCUCUCCCCUCACCCCACAGCCAACUCAAGCUAGUCUGGGUCAUAAGACAUUUUCCUGUGGGUGUCACUUCCUGAAUGGCAGGGCACAUCAGAAAACAUACACCCAUCUGCCUACAUUAAUUAAGUACUCAUAUUAGGAAUUGGCUAGGCACAUGUCUCCAACAAUAUUUGGUCAAUCACAAGGCCAGUUCCUUCAAGAGGCCUUGUGAGGAUUUGAGAGGGCUAGAAAAAUACAGAACUCUCUUCCUCCUUCAAAAAGAAUCAAUUUAUUCUUAAAGAUAAGUAAAUUUACUUAUCCACUGGAAAAAGUCAAAUGCAUAUAUUCGUAUCAUAAGUCAGAAUUACAUUCUUAUUCAAAGUGGCUAGCAAGAGGCCGAAGUUAACAAUCUUCCUCUCCAUCUCUGCUCCCUGGAAUCCUGGACUCUGAAUCACACAGCUCACCACGCAGAGGAUGACAGAACUGACUCUUAUUAAAUAACUGUGUAAUAAUAGGCCUAACUUUGAGAGCCUACCUGCAUCACUGCCUCCUGAAAUAAGACAACUGUUUAACUAAACUGACUUAUUUCCAAGUCUGAGAGACUGGUUCAAAAGAUGAUGCAAUCUACCAACUCAACUUCUUGAGCGUUUCAAAGGCAGGACUAAAGGGGAGCAGAUUAUACUACCCAAAAUGUGUCACUUUUGCGUGUGGAUUGUUUGAGCUGAAGGCAAGCAAGACCUGGCAGUCUCAGGAAAAAACUUUUACCUCCCUUUUAACUGCCUAAAAAAACUCAGAUAGGGGACCUGGCCCAGAAAGAGAGCUAUUACCAGAGAGAAUUUUUUUAGGACUUACCUACAUGGCAGGUAAAAUACCUGAUUAGCAAACACCUGCUCUUCUUAACUUCCCAGUGAAUCACCCUCCUCCCCUUUGAAGCUCCAGCCCAUAUCCCUCAGCUGAGACUGCAUAUAAAUCUCAAUUGCCUGACUGCCUUUGGAUCACAUAUGUUUAUGGGGCUCCCAUACCUUAGGAAAUCAAAUUUGUCUUUCUCAUGUUAAAAAAAUAAAUAAAAAUAAAGGUCAUCUCUCA